rnacentral:rRNA from 1 species
UACAGAGGGUGCGAGCGUUAAUCGGAAUUACUGGGCGUAAAGCGCACGUAGGCGGAUCGAUCAGUCAGGGGUGAAAUCCCAGAGCUCAACUCUGGAACUGCCUUUGAUACUGUCGAUCUAGAGUAUGGAAGAGGUGAGUGGAAUUCCGAGUGUAGAGGUGAAAGUUCGUAGAUAUUCGGAGGAAGCACCAGUGGCGAAGGCGGCUCACUGGUGCCAUUACUGGACGCUGAGGUGGCGAAAGCGUGGGGAGCAAACAGG